rnacentral:lncRNA from 1 species
GCACUUCCCGCCCAGGUCCCCGCCUCCCUACCUGGCUGCCAAUGGGAGCCCAAUUUAAAACUGGCGCCCAGUUACGUAGUUAACGGUCUUGUUCUCCCAAAACACACACACAAAAAAAACGGUCUUGUUCUCAACAAGGAAGGAGAAGGAGGAAAAGACAGGCUGCCUAAAACGUUAUUUUCAGCAUUUAGAUACCACAAUGGCAUUUGCCAUUUACUAUUUCAAGGACAAAACUGUGGAAGUUGGGAAGAUUUCAUGGAUGAGUACUGACGACCAGCGACAAUGUCCCAAAUUAAUCACCCAGUGCCCGAAUCUAGAAGAUGACAAUGGAUGGAUGGAGAUAAAGUGGGACAUUAAAGGCAGAAAAAAGUCAGACUGUCCAGCCUUUUUCCCAGCAAAGGUUUUAAUGUUUGGUGACAAUACAGUGAUCUCUGCAAGAAGAGACAGGAAUUCAUAAGGGGUGAAGACAUCUGGCAAGACGCACCCAAGAGGAAGAGUAAGCCGAACAGCAAGUGGAAAGAUGUGGAAGAGGAGGAUCAUGAAGUUCCACCAAAAAAGAAGAGAAAAAGAGCAACCUGUGCAGAAAAAGAGUCAGCAAACCAAAUGGUUGAAGAGCUGAAGAAGCAGCUGGCAAACAAAGCAUCUUCAGAGUUAAGUAACUCAAAUGAGGAGUCAUCAGAUGAGGAGCAGAUGCCCAGAAACUGGAGUGUGGCACAGCAGAAAAUGAAAGAGCUUCAGAGAGAAAUCAAGACCCUGAAAGAAGGCCAUGUGAAAGAGAUGCUAGAUGCCAUGAGAGAGCUUCCAGCAGUAGUGACACAGCUGAAAGAUGUCUUCGAAAAAAUCACAGUUCAGAUCUCAACUCCUGCAUCCACCUGGUCAACAUCCACACCAUCUGUAGACCCACCUUCUGCACCCAGCUCUCCUGAAGUGUUGUCUGAUCCUGAUGAUAUGAUAAAUACCUCAAAAUGCAUGGAUACUGUAUGUUAUGUUAUUUAUCCAUUUGGGGAAAGGUUUGCUAUGCAAUUUCCAUCUACAUCUUUUGAUUGUACACAUGAGCUAGAAAGAAAGCAUAUUCAUCAACUUUGUGCUGGACAUAUACCUUUGAUGAUGGAUUAG